rnacentral:rRNA from 1 species
UACGAAGGGGGCUAGCGUUGUUCGGAAUUACUGGGCGUAAAGGGCGCGCAGGCGGUCGCUCAAGUCAGGCGUGAAAGCCCCGGGCUCAACCUGGGAAUAGCGCUUGAGACUGAGCGACUUGAGUUCGGGAGAGGAGAGCGGAAUUCCCAGUGUAGAGGUGAAAUUCGUAGAUAUUGGGAAGAACACCGGUGGCGAAGGCGGCGAGCUGGCCUGUUACUGACGCUGAGGCGCGACAGCGUGGGGAGCAAACAGG